UCUUACACCUUCUUUUUCUCCGUUUGCGAUCGUUGGGCUUGUGCUGGGUCUCCCUGCCCAGAGCGUCUCCCUCUCUGUCUCCGUCUCUCUUCAUUGCAUAUCGAGAAGGCCUUUAACGAAUCGAAUAAAGCAACUCCAGCCAAGGGACAAAAAUUGAAAAAAAUCUAGGGUUUCUAAAUAUCUCUCGCUAUUCCUCUUCGAAUUUCUUUCCCUCCAAAAAUUGGUUGUUUUGCCGCUAGCUCUUCUCCGGAUCGAUUUUCUAAGGAAGAUAUUUCCCGGCAACAAAAAAAAAAAAAAAAAAAAAAUCACCUCCAUUUUUAGCUCUCGGCGACAACGACUUCCUCUGCUCCUUGGUUCUCCAAGCUAUUCCAAGGUUCUUCGAUUCUUGGAGUUUCAAUUUUGCUGUUUGUUUCUUCUGGAGCCUUGCGUGUGAUUUUGUUGGUUCAGAGGAACAAUAGCUGGUGGUUGGGGUGGAGAGGGAGGAUUCAUUGAUGGAGGAUUUACAUUCAAGAGGCAGGAUUUUAGACCUCAAAAAUUAUAUUUUUGUCUCUCAUAUAGAUUCUUGAUAUCUUGAUAUGUUCGAUCCAUUUUUGCAAUUGGAUCUGGGAUAUAUUUGAGGUUGAAUGCAAAUUGGUUUAUGGAUUUGGAAGCAUCUUCUUCGUCAAGGGAUUUGUUGAAAUGCUGUAAUUGUGGGUGUAGCUGUUCGUUGAUCACUAGCUCUUCAGGUACUUGGCUUCGGUCUGUAAAACGAAAGUAUGAUGAGUUUGAGGAGCGUAACCGAUUCUCCAUACCAGGGUUCGAUUUCUUCUCAAAUGCUAGGAUUCAGAUUGAGAACGAAUGUGCUCUGCUCCGUGAGAUGGUUAGUAGUCAACAGGAAGCAAUUCAGGAUUUGCAUACUGAAUUGGAGGAAGAGAGAAAUGCCUCUUCAUCAGCUACAAAUGAGGCCAUGUCGAUGAUAUUGAGGUUGCAAAGGGAGAAGGCAGAGAUCCAAAUGGAGGCCCGACAAUUCAAGCGUUUUGCAGAGGAGAAGAUGGCACAUGACCAACAGGAGCUUAUGGCUUUGGAAGAUUUGUUAUAUAAGAGAGAGCAGGUCAUUCAUUCGCUUACUUGUGAAGUGCAGGCUUAUAAGCAUAGGAUGAUGAGUUAUGGGCUCACAGAAGCUGAGGUGGAGGGUGAGAGAAGUGGGCUUAGCCAUUACUCUAGCAUGGUGGAAUUUGAUACGCAAAUCGAACUCCCCAUGUAUGACUACCCACCUUUGAAAUGUAGAUUACACGAGACCCAAGCUCCUUUGGAGGAUGAAAAUGAUGGAGAUGAUGUUGAGAAAUAUGCAUUUGGUGAGACCCCUUGUGCUAAAGACCAGCUGAAGAACUUGGAAAAUAGAGUCUUCCAGAUGGAGAGAAGUCCCAGCAACAGUCGGCUGGAUGGGGAUUUCUCUGGUUCAAAUAACAUUCUAGAAAAGGUGGUAGCUGGUCACUCUCCCAGGCGGUCAAGAGACUCCAGUAGAUUUUACAACGAACCAAGUUCGUUCAUGGGGGUGGUCAAAGAAACUGGUCACGAUAUUUCCACAGAAUAUCCGAGGCCCAGUAGCAAUUUCAUUAAUACAGAGGAUGUCUCACAGGUAGAGGACGACACUAAUUUGAGAAAGUUUGAUAAUGCAUCUGAAAUGGCAGAUGACAUGAGUGACAGAGUUUAUACCAUUGACUCUGUCCAUAAUGGAGUACCGAAUGGUGGUUUUACCAAUCCCAAAGCUGGAGUUGGUAUUUCUGAAGAAUAUGUAACCACUCCAAUGUCACUGAAUCGGGCUGAUCAUGCGGAUCCAGACAUUAAGAAGCUCUAUUUGAGGCUUCAGGCACUUGAGGCAGACAGGGAAUCAAUGAGGCAGGCAAUAAUUUCUAUGCGUACUGAUAAAGCUCGAAUGGUACUACUGAAAGAAAUAGCUCAACAUUUGUGCAAGGAAAUGUCACCAGAAAGGCAAAUGACUAUAAAGAAGCCAUCUCUUCUAGGAAGCUUUUCAUUUAUAUCAGUUUUUAAGUGGAUUGCCUCAUUUAUUUUCUGGAAAAAGAGAUCUCGUCGAAGCAAGUACAUGUGUGGCCUCUCAACCAGCACUAUGGGCUUGCUAAUGCUUCUAGACAAGGGCCCUCGUGUGAGGCCGUGGAGAUGUCUUACAAGCACGCAAGUGUAAAUGCAUUCUCAAUUCUUCCGUAUCCGUUGGGUGUCUAUCCUUGUGCUUGUGGACAGCUAGUGAAUUCCUGAUUACGACUUCUAUGCUUAGAUUUUACAUUCUUUUUCAGGGUUCUUGGUUGCUGCAAAAGUGGUUGAAUUGUGAGGCGCAGUUGCUAUAUCAACUGGUAGCGGAAUACGAUGGCAACACUCGGUGGCUUCAUUCAAAACCUUGUUCAAAAAGGACGCCUACCGUGUAGUGACUAAAAUGGCUUACCUUUAUUCAAAAUAAAUCCCGCCGAGUGAAAAUGAUGGGACAAAUUUUUAUUGUUGUUAUAACAAU